UAAAACUAUUAGAAAUCUAACCCGUCAGCCUGGCUGUAGCUGGGGGGUUCCAUUCCAGUGCCACAGCAUCUCCAGCAACACAUGAAUGACUGACCAGUGGAUUUCAGUUUCAGGUCUUUGAGACAGUG
ensembl:snoRNA